rnacentral:rRNA from 1 species
GACGAACGCUGGCGGCGUGCCUAAUACAUGCAAGUAGAACGCACAGUUUAUACCGUAGCUUGCUACACCAUAGACUGUGAGUUGCGAACGGGUGAGUAACGCGUAGGUAACCUGCCUGGUAGCGGGGGAUAACUAUUGGAAACGAUAGCUAAUACCGCAUAAUAUUAAUUAUUGCAUGAUAAUUGAUUGAAAGAUGCAACUGCAUCACUACCAGAUGGACCUGCGUUGUAUUAGCUAGUAGGUGAGGUAACGGCUCACCUAGGCGACGAUACAUAGCCGACCUGAGAGGGUGAUAGGCCACACUGGGACUGAGACACGGCCCAGACUCCUACGGGAGGCAGCAGUAGGGAAUCUUCGGCAAUGGACGAAAGUCUGACCGAGCAACGCCGCGUGAGUGAAGAAGGUUUUCGGAUCGUAAAGCUCUGUUGUAAGAGAAGAACGGGUGUGAGAGUGGAAAGUUCACACUGUGACGGUAUCUGACCAGAAAGGGACGGCUAACUACGUG